GGCAGCAUGGUGUAAUGGUGUGAGCGUUAGACUAUGACACUGGAGAUCAGGGUCAAAUCCCUGUUGGGCCA